CGAAUCAAGGGAAGCGUGCCGGUGCAGGCAAGAGACCACCGUAAGCGUCGUUGCGACCAAAUAAGCGCCGAUUCACAUCAGCGCGACUACGCUCUCGCUGCCUAAGCGACGGCUAGUCUGUCAGACCGGGAACGCCCUCGGCCCGGACCCUGGCAUCAGCUAGAGGGAUCCACCGAUGAGUCCGGUCGCGGGACUCCUCGGGACAACCACAGCGACUGGGAUCGUCAUCUCGGCUAGUUCGCGUGACCGGGAGAUCCGAGCAGAGGCAUAGCGAACUGCGCACGGAGAAGCCUUGAGGGAAUGCC
rnacentral:ncRNA from 3 species